GUGCUUACUUCGGCAGCACAUAUACUAAAAUUGGAACGAUACGCAGAAGAUUAGCAUGGCCUCUGUGCAAGGAUGACCCACAAAUUUGUAAAGCGUUCCAGAUUUUU